AUUGAACGCUGGCGGCGUGCUUAACACAUGCAAGUCGAACGCGAAAGGGACUUCGGUCCUGAGUAAAGUGGCGCACGGGUGAGUAACGCGUGGAUAAUCUGCCCUUAUGAUCGGGAUAACAGUUGGAAACGGCUGCUAAUACCGGAUACGCUCAAAAUGAACUUUUUGAGGAAAGAUGGCCUCUGCUUGCAUGCUAUCGCGUAAGGAUGAGUCCGCGUCCCAUUAGCUUGUUGGCGGGGUAACGGCCCACCAAGGCAACGAUGGGUAGCCGAUUUGAGAGGAUGAUCGGCCACACUGGAACUGAAACACGGUCCAGACUCCUACGGGAGGCAGCAGUGGGGAAUAUUGCGCAAUGGGCGAAAGCCUGACGCAGCGACGCCGCGUGAGGGAUGAAGGUUUUUCCGGAUCGUAAACCUCUGUCAGAAGGGAAGAAACUACAUUGUGCUAAUCAGCAGUGUACUGACGGUACCUUCAAAGGAAGCACCGGCUAACUCCGUGCCAGCAGCUGC
rnacentral:rRNA from 1 species